GACGAACGCUGGCGGCGUGCUUAACACAUGCAAGUCGAACGCAGUGGCGAACGGGUGAGUAACGCGUAAUCAACCUGCCCUUCAGAGGGUGAUAACAGUUGGAAACGACUGCUAAUACCGCAUACUGAAGGAGUGGAUUGCGUCUGAUUCGGUCGUUGGAGGGGUAACGGCCCACCAGGGCGAUGAUCAGUAGCCGGUCUGAGAGGAGGAACGGCCACAUUGGGACUGAGACACGGCCCAGACUCCUACGGGAGGCAGCAGUGGGGAAUCGUCCGCAAUGGACGAAAGUCUUACGGCGCAACGCCGCGUGAGGGAUGACGGCCUUCGGGUUGUAAAGCGCUGUUAAUCGGGACGCGGUACCGGAAUAGAAAGCCACGGCUAACUACGUGCCAGCCGCCGCGGUAAUAC
rnacentral:rRNA from 1 species